UGAAGUAAGUAAGGGCGUACGGUGAAUGCCUUGGUGCCAACAGGCGAAGAAGGACGCGGCAAGCUGCGAAAAGCCUCGGGAAGCUGCAAGCAAGCGAUGAUCCGGGGAUAUCCGAAUGGGGUAACCUGAUCGAGGCAAUACUCGAUCGUUCAUACCUGAAUACAUAGGGUAUGAAACGCGAAACCCGCUGAAGUGAAACAUCUCAGUAAGCGGAGGAAAAGAAAGAGAAAUCGAUUCCGUAAGUAGUGGCGAGCGAAAGCGGAUGGAGCCCAAACCGAAGGUAUUCCUUCGGGGUUGUAGGACCACGUCAUAUUCGACCAUACUGGAUAGUAGAACAGCCUGGAAAGGCUGGCCGGAGAAGGUGAAAGCCCUGUAGACGAAAUCCAGAGUGGGAAUUAGUGGUAUCCUGAGUAAUACAUCACACGUGGAACGAUGUAUGAACCCGCGCGGACCACCGCGCAAGGCUAAAUACUAGUUGGCGACCGAUAGUGAACAAGUACCGCGAGGGAAAGGUGAAAAGAACCGCUGUGAGCGGAGUGAAAUAGAACCUGAAACCGUAUGUCUACAAAGUGUCAGAGCAGAGCAAUCUGCGAUGGCGUGCCUUUUGUUUAAUGAGUCUGCGAGUCAGUGUUUGUGGCAAGACUAAGGGCUUCCGGCCCGGAGUCGCAGCGAAAGCAAGUCCGAACAGGGCGCAAUAAGUCGCAGGUACUGGACCCGAAGCGGAGGUGACCUACCCUUGGCCAGGUUGAAGCAUGGGUAAAACCAUGUGGAGGACCGAACAGGUGAACGUUGAAAAGUUCUCUGAUGAGCUGAGGGUAGGAGUGAAAGGCUAAUCAAACCCCGUGAUAGCUGGUUCUCUUCGAAAUGCAUUUAGGUGCAGCGUCACGUGCUGAUGCGCGGGGGUAGAGCACUGACAAGGCUAGGGGGCACACCCGCUUACCAAACCUUAUCAAACUCCGAAUACCGUGCAAUGGAACGUGGCAGUGAGACAGUGGGGGAUAAGCUUCAUUGUCGAGAGGGAAACAACCCAGACCAGCAGCUAAGGUGCCUAAAUAACGCUCAGUGGAAAGGAUGUGGGAUUACACAGACAGUGAGGAUGUUGGCUUAGAAGCAGCCACCAUUUAAAAAAUGCGUAAUAGCUUACUCAUCGAGUGAUCCUGCGCCGAAAAUGAUUGGCGAUCAAGCGUUAUACCGAAGCUCUGGACUUUGCCGCAAGGCAGAGUGGUAGAAGAGCGUUGCAUGCGCGUCGAAGGGCGAUGGCGACUGACCCUGGAGCACAUGCAAGUGAGUAUGCAGACAUGAGUAACGUUAAGCCGGGUGAAAUCCCCGGCCGCCGUAAACCCGAGGUUUCCAGGGCAACGUGUUUCGUCCCUGGGUUAGCCGGGACCUAAGCCGAGGCCGAGAGGCGUAGGCGAUGGACAUCAGGUUAAUAAUCCUGAGCUCGCAACCCUUAAACUGGGGGGACGCAUGAGAAAAGAUGACUAGGUUAUUGAAUUCCGAGUUGAGUCUACGGACUCAGCGCAUCAUUGGAUCGAGUGCCAAGAAAAGCCCCAGCGUAUGCUAAGCGACCCGUACCGCAAACCGACACAGGUAGGUGGGUAGAAUAUACCAAGGCGUAAGAGUGAAACCUGGUUAAGGAACUCGGCAAAUUAGCCCCGUAACUUCGGAAGAAGGGGUGCCUGCAGCGAUGCAGGCCGCAGAGAAAUGGCCCAACCGACUGUUUAUCAAAAACACAGCACUCUGCAAAGACGCAAGUCGAAGUAUAGGGUGUGACACGUGACCAAUGCCGAAAGAUUAAGGCAAGGGGUUAGCCGCAAGGCGAAGCUCUAAACCCAAGUCCCGGUGAAUGUCGGCCGUAACUAUAACGGUCCUAAGGUAGCGAAAUUCCUUGUCAGGUAAGUUCUGACCUGCACGAAACGUGAAACGAGUUGGGCACUGUCUCAACCAGGCGCUCAGUGAAAUUGUAGUGGCGGUGAAGAUGCCGCCUACCCGCAGAAGGACGGAAAGACCCUAUAGACCUUAACUGUAAGCUGUCAUUGUUUCUUCGGUUUUAAUGCUCAGAGUAAGUGGGAGACGCUGAAGACGCCCUUUAGGGGGCGUCCGAGUCAUCAAUGAGACACCACCCUUUGAAACUGGAGGAUCUAACCCUGAGCCGUGAAUCCGGCCAGAGGACAGUGUCAGCCGGUCAGUUUUACUGGGGUGGUAUCCUCCCAAAGAGUAACGGAGGAGCGCGAAGGUGGGCUCAGCCCGGUUGGCAACCGGGUGUCGAGUGCAUGGGCAUAAGCCCGCCUAACUGUGAGACCAACAAGUCGAGCAGAUGCGAAAGCAGGCCCAAGUGAUCCGGCGGUAGAAAGUGGAAUUGCCGUCGCUCAACGGAUAAAAGGUACCUUAGGGAUAACAGGCUGAUCACGCCCAAGAGUUCAUAUCGACGGCGUGGUUUGGCACCUCGAUGUCGGCUCGUCGCAUCCUGGGGCUGGAGAAGGUCCCAAGGGUCCGGCUGUUCGCCGGUUAAAGCGGCACGCGAGCUGGGUUCAGAACGUCGCGAGACAGUUCGGUCCUCUAUCCUCUGUGGGCGUUGGAAAAUUGAGGGGUUCAGACCUUAGUACGAGAGGACCGGGUCUGACGCACCACUGGUGCAUCGGUUGUACUGUCAAGUGCAUGGCCGAGUAGCUAAGUGCGGACGGGAUAAGCGCUGAAAGCAUCUAAGCGCCAAGCCCUUCCCAAGAUGAGUUUUCCCUACAGGUUCGUGGAAGACCACCACGUUGAUAGGUCGCAGGUGUAAGUGCAGCAAUGUAUUGAGCCGAGCGAUACUAAUUACCAAUUGACUUCAUCAU
rnacentral:rRNA from 1 species